UACGUAGGGGGCUAGCGUUGUCCGGAUUUAUUGGGCGUAAAGAGCGUGUAGGCGGCCAUGUAGGUCCGGUGUGAAAACUCGAGGCUUAACCUCGAGAUGUCAUCGGAAACCAUUUGGCUAGAGUCCGGAAGAGGAGGGUGGAAUUCCCGGUGUAGCGGUGAAAUGCGCAGAUAUCGGGAAGAACACCCGUGGCGAAGGCGGCUCUCUGGGACGGUACUGACGCUGAGACGCGAAAGCGUGGGGAGCGAACAGG
rnacentral:rRNA from 1 species